GACGAACGCUGGCGGCGUGCCUAAUACAUGCAAGUUGAGCGCUGAAGGUUGGUACUUGUACCAACUGGAUGAGCAGCGAACGGGUGAGUAACGCGUGGGGAAUCUGCCUUUGAGCGGGGGACAACAUUUGGAAACGAAUGCUAAUACCGCAUAAAAACUUUAAACACAAGUUUUAAGUUUGAAAGAUGCAAUUGCAUCACUCAAAGAUGAUCCCGCGUUGUAUUAGCUAGUUGGUGAGGUAAAGGCCCACCAAGGCGAUGAUACAUAGCCGACCUGAGAGGGUGAUCGGCCACAUUGGGACUGAGACACGGCCCAAACUCCUACGGGAGGCAGCAGUAGGGAAUCUUCGGCAAUGGACGAAAGUCUGACCGAGCAACGCCGCGUGAGUGAAGAAGGUUUUCGGAUCGUAAAACUCUGUUGGUAGAGAAGAACGUUGGUGAGAGUGAAAAGCUCAUCAAGUGACGGUAACUACCCAGAAAGGGACGGCUAACUACGUG
rnacentral:rRNA from 1 species